AGAUCAAAAGACAGAACCCACCCCCUUUUUUUCUUCUGGUUUCCUGUUAUUGUUGCUGCAGCUGUAUAUUUCUUCUUCCAUUUCAUUUUGUGCCUUCAAUAAAGAGAUAAGCUGUGACUCUUGCCUUAAAAUUCUGUCAAAAUUGUGAAUGCUGGUUUUGAAUUACUUUGCUACCUGAAGAUUGGUGUCAAAGUGACUGUUUCUUCUUUGGAAAGGAGCCACGAGAGCAUAGCUGAAAGCAAGAAUUCAAAGGAAGUAGAACUGUGAAUGAAAGGACAAACUUGUUGGUACCAUAACUACCCUCAUCUGAUACUAAGAUGGCAGUUCCUCACCUUAGAAGAAGGGAUGGUUGCUCCACAAAGCUUUGUAAGAGCUGAGGACAGCACUGGAGAGGAAAAGAAGGACUGAAUGUUUGCAGAAGUGCUAAAUAAAGCUGGGGGCCUUUAUGAUGGAGAGCAGGCAGCUCACAGAGGCUGGAGAGCUUCAUUCUCCCUUGGGAUGAGGACACACCGUGUGUAAUCAGAUCCAGAUACACUCCUAAUGAGGGGUUGUCAAAGGACAACUUUGAUGUGUAACACCCAUUGUCAAUAGAUAUGUUGAUAGUAAAUGGAACUAUAAUGUUUAUUACUAUACAUUGUCCAUAAAUACGUAUUUCUCAAGAAUCUCAAUCCAAUAUGCAUCCCAAAUAUUCAGGACUCUGACUGGACAGCAGGGUUAUGUUUGGUCAAAAAAGCUGCCAAAUGCUUCAAAAAACAUUAGCAUCAGUUCCUCUGAGGUAUUACAUUGAUCCUGGUGCCAGGGUGGUCCCUACACACUGGCUUAUUUCAGAGUCAAAUGCAGAAGAUCUAAAAUACUUCAGAUUCUGGGGACAGACAGAGGUAUAGAUUUCUUAAGUACAAAUAUCAAGCAGAUAUUAUUCUGAAGAACAUCUAUAAUAAUAUCUACAGGUGGUUCUGUAACAUUCAAAAGGUCCCACUGUGCCUUGCUAUUCAGCUCACACUCUCACAUGACCAUAAAGUCUCUCAAAUUCCCAGUUUUUUUCACCACUCAUCAUUUUCUCUUCAUUACUCAACAAUUCCCUCUUCCAUACUAAUUCUCUCUCUCCCUUAGUCUAUUAAUCGCCAUAUUCCCAAAUCUGUGCAGUACAUAUGUUGUCCCAGUCCUACCCUCUACCAUAGUCAUCCUUUUCCACACCUCCAUAGUUAAUCUUCAUUCUCUAAUUAAUCUAGAAGACAGGUGGCUGUAUUUGAGCAUUUGAGUUAGCUAGCCCAGGUACAUCCCUAAAAGAUAGCCAUGUCUCAAUAACCACAUGCAUUUUGCUAACUGGUCUUACACACCUGUGAAAGUAUAUCACGUAAUUAUUUGCAUUAACAUGCCAGGAUUCAUUCCUACACAACAGCUGAAAAACUUCCCCAUUGAGUGUGGAGAGGGGAUUUUGGGGAAGGGUACAACAGCCACUUUGCUUUAUCUUUUCUGGCAUGUUCAUUUAUUUAGCCUCAAUAAAGCCACUGUGAGGCUUGUAAUCUUAGUUCUUAGUAAUCUUAAAUGUUUGUGAAGCAAAACAAGAAGUAUCUGCUUUUUGCAUGGAUGUCAAGGGAACAGAAGACAAGAAUUAUAUCUAUCAGUACCUAGUAAGGCUGAAGUAUGGACUGACUUAUUGAACAUUUAUAAAAAUCGUGUCAGAGCACAACUUCGUCCUGGAGAGAUCCUGUCCAAAUCACUCUCAACCUCUUCUCUGCCCUCUUUUCAGAGUCUGCUCUUAAGCAUCUUUUUCUUACUUUCCAAAUCCCUUCUUACCAUGCUCACACCUGUGCUUUCCCCCCUCCUCCUCCCCCCACAAUAUUUUUAGAUCUGGUUUGGUAUGAAGUAAAUCCUGUGGCUUCUAUUCUCCAGCUGUUCAGCGUUUUUCAGGAUACCUCCCUCUAGACUGGGUUGAACACAGGUAAGAUACUUUUAGGAAUUGAGAAAAGGAAAGGCAGUGAACAGGUUGAAACAGUAAACAAGAGAGAGAGUUUCAACAGCCAAGAAUGUUAGCUUGUGAGACCGAGGACAGAAUAGUUGAAGAUGAGGCAGAAUAUCUUCAGUCUUUAUCUCUCCAGCAACGUUUGCUUCCCGUAGCUGAGUCUGGAUCACAGUAACAGAAACACCUCUCCAAACUAUUUCAUAGUAGCUCCAACUAUUUCAUAAACUAUUUCAUAGUUUCCCCAACAUCCUAUUGGGGAAUAUUUCCAGUUUCUUAUUAGCAUUCUCAUAAAAACUGAGGCAGAUCUUGCAGCAAAUGUGUCUGUGUAAAAAAACACAGCAGCAGCGGCUUUUGGCCAGAUUGAGAGAGAGAUGGGUGUAAGGGUCCUCCUGCCUGUACCCAGCCACUCCAGCCUCAGAGUGCACAAAACUUGAACUGCAGAGGACAGAGGUAAGGGAAACACUGCUGCAAAUGCAAUACUCUCCAGUUAUAAACAUUUCUUCUUCUCAUGCUGCUUCAGCUCUUAAAUUUUCAUCUCUCAGCAGAUGCUGAAAAAUACCCACAGAUUAGAGACUUCCAUACCUCAAAUGAAAAUAACAUAUAAAGUGGAACAUUUUUACAAGUGAAAUGAAUAGCUAGAGUCUGUGCAAACACUGAUCUCCAGAUAGGAUAACAUCAUAAACACUGGGAAAUAAAAUUAAUGGUUGAAUGAUAGCAGUACUAUGCUCCCAAGAAUAAUAAUCAGAUAUAGAUGUUUAACUGUCUGUGACUGAGGACUCCUUUAUCUUCUUAUAACUCACCUCCCUACAGAGUACAUGCCUCCUUCUAAAUAUAAAUAUUUGAAAUUAUAAUUCAUAUGUAUUUGAGUAUGAUAAAUUGAGCAGGAAUUUAAAGAGUUUGAUUUAAAAGAAAUUGUAUGACUGAAAAGGAUAAUCUAAUACUAAAAACAAAGAAGCCUCUUUGCACCAUUAUAUUUGCUGUUUGGGUACUUUUAUGUAGUGUUUUUCAACUGUUUUUGAAUAGCAAGAAUUAGCUCUGAAAAAAUAAGUAAUUCCAAAAUGUUUUACUUUAAAUGAGUUAUUUUUUUAACUGGUUUGUGCAUUAGCAGUGUUAAGUAAAUAUAAAAAGAUAUUGGGGAAUUGUUUGUCCUGUUUUCUCCUUUUUGACUGAAAUCGACUAAAUCUGUCCCUGCUGUUACAGAUAAACAGUUUGCAGUACUUUGAAAUGAUAACAGACUUUUUUUUAAAGGGAAUUUUUUUAAGUUGGGUGUAAAAUACCAAACCAGAGCACCUUCUUUUGGUCUGUCACUACUCGUUUAUUUAUUUUUUUUUAGAAAUAAAAGACCCUAAAAGUACCAAAAAAGAAUGUUACAAAAUCUUUUUAUUAAGUCUCACGCUAAUAAGGAGCAUAAGAACAAGGAGCUGACAUCACUACUGUACAUCUCACUAGAUAAUGCUGUUUGUUUAACAGACUUAUGAAAGUUUUAUUUUUCUUUCAGGCAAUUUUUCUUUUCUUUUUAGAGGUAGCUUGAUAAAGUAGCAAAUUCCUAAGAUUUCUCAGUAGUGUGUACUGCAUAACAUUCACAUUACCUGUGACCUUGAGUGAUGUAUAAAGGAUAUUGAUUUAUUCCUUAUUCUUUUUAUCAAUUAAAACAACUAACUGGCCUUUGUUAAGGAGCCGUCUUAGCUUUGAAUAUGCUAAUUUCUGAACCUUAUUAUAUCAGAUUCCUUAUCUGUUGCACAGGAAUAGUAAUUGCCAUGCCACACUAUUGUGAAGGUAAAUAUUAUGAUGUGAUAUUCUCACCUACUGUAGCAAAGAAAAAUAAGAUGGGCAGUGCUUUAUAAAAGACAAACAGAUAAGUUCAUACAUGUUAAAGAACAGUAACCUUAGGGCCUUAAUUUCUGAGUGUUUUUUUCAAGAUACAGAACAGUAUUUACUGUUUUAAAUUUUUUUUUCUUUAGGGGCAUUUAGAAUUGAGUCACUUUUUUCCUGUUUAGGAAAGGUGUUCUCAAUUUAGUAGAUUCUAUUCCAAAGUUACAGUUAUCUGUAGGAGAAACGACUAGAGCUAUGAAACAUAAAACAUGAAAUAGCAACAUGAGUGGAUAACCAGUCCACAAAAUGGCUUUAUGAAGAUCAUUCCACUGGUUUCAGUAGGAGACAGAUGGGACUCUAUAAGCCCAACUAUUUGAAUCGGUAGAAUAAUACAUUUUUAUUCAUCAAUAGCCUGUUUCUUCUAGGUGUUGAGAGAACACAAGACACUUAGGUCCUGAGUACAGUAUCUUCUCUGAAUAAAGUCACUGGAAAAAAAAAAAUCAGUCUAAUCUUCUCCCUCAGUUAUGUUUUUGUUGGCUCUUUUCAGCCAGGGGAAAGCUUGGUAUGCUGUGAUGUUACUUCCCCUAUAACUUCAUUUACUAUAGAUUCCGAGAAUACCUGCCCAGCUUUGCAAAAGCCAUUUGGAAUCUUUGGAUGUAAGACAAGGGUUGUAACGUUACCUGUUCAAUCAGUGGGACU